rnacentral:rRNA from 1 species
AACGAACGCUGGCGGCGCGCUUAACACAUGCAAGUCGAACGAGAAGGCGUAGCAAUACGCUUGUACAGUGGCGAACGGGUGAGUAAUACGUGGGCGACCUACCCUCGAGUGGGGAAUAACCCGCCGAAGGCGGGCUAAUGCCGCGUACGCUUCCAUCUUUAUGGAGGUGGAAGGAAAGCCGUGCCGUGGGCACGGCGCUCAAGGAUGGGCUCACGUCCUAUCAGCUUGUUGGUAGGGAACGGCCUACCAAGGCUCCGACGGGUAGCUGGUCUGAGAGGACGAUCAGCCACACUGGCACUGCGACACGGGCCAGACUCCUACGGGAGCAGCAGUGAGGAAUAUUGCGCAAUGGGCGAAAGCCUGACGCAGCGACGCCGCGUGGGGGAUGAAGGUC